UUCCACUCUAGGUUCUAUCAUCGAUGAGAGUGUGGGAAUGUGGCCAGUCUCGGGACGUCGACGCACGAGCUUUUCCGUGAGGGAUGGAGGAGGUCCCGCCUUGCCAAAGCAUUUGUCUUCCUUAUGAGCCUUGCUGGUAAUCUCUUCCACAGCUGCUAUUGCAUUUCCAGCAGCUCAAAUGAUGUUCUUAGACCUGGAAUGAAAGUUCGUGACAGGAAUUCACUUCAUUUCUGAUUCGCUCCAGCUUAAUCAAUGUUUGCUUGACCCA